rnacentral:snoRNA from 1 species
GCAAGCUAUGAUGGUUAUGUCUCGUUCGGUGUAUUGGCGAUAAUCCAACAAAGCCAUGCCGACAAACUCUACAUAUCACCACUCACAAUCUGAGCUUGC